rnacentral:lncRNA from 1 species
AAACCUGUUUGCCCUUUUGUUGGAGCUUCCAGACCUGAUGACACUUCUAUUAAGAAGCCUGGUGAACACCAAAAUAAACAGUUAGCUAGCCAGGAGAGCAAGCCUAAGCAAGAUUCUGGGGAAUCUGCAAUUGUGUCACCUAAAUGCCCCUUUGGAUAUGGCCAGGAGAACAAGGCUAAACAAGAGUCUGGAGAAUCUGCAACUGUGUCACCUAAAUGCCCCUUUGGAUAUGAUUCUCAAGCAUUUAAGCUGGGUCCUUUUAGCUGCAUGAUUUGUCAGGCACUACUUUAUGAUUGCAGCAGAUGUGUGCCCUGUUCUCAUGUAUUCUGCAA